GAUGAACGCUGGCGGCGUGCCUAAUACAUGCAAGUCGAGCGAAUGGAUUAAGAGCUUGCUCUUAUGAAGUUAGCGGCGGACGGGUGAGUAACACGUGGGUAACCUGCCCAUAAGACUGGGAUAACUCCGGGAAACCGGGGCUAAUACCGGAUAACAUUUGAACCGCAUGGUUCGAAAUUGAAAGGCGGCUUCGGCUGUCACUUAUGGAUGGACCCGCGUCGCAUUAGCUAGUUGGUGAGAUAACGGCUGACCAAGGCAACGAUGCGUAGCCGACCUGAGAGGGUGAUCGGCCACACUGGGACUGAGACACGGCCCAGACUCCUACGGGAGGCAGCAGUAGGGAAUCUUCCGCAAUGGACGAAAGUCUGACGGAGCAACGCCGCGUGAGUGAUGAAGGCUUUCGGGUCGUAAAACUCUGUUGUUAGGGAAGAACAAGUGCUAGUUGAAUAAGCUGGCACCUUGACGGUACCUAACCAGAAAGCCACGGCUAACUACGUGCCAGCAGCCGCCGUAA
rnacentral:rRNA from 1 species